GGGGACGCGUGGGUUCGACAGGCGAAUACUCUGGAGAAUUGCAGGCCGAGGUGCCACCCAUCUCGAAAAACAGGUGGCAAAAAAGUAACUGGCAACAACAACGACAGAGCUUACGCUCUAGCCGCCUAAACAGGACGGCUGCGUCUGCCCCUACUACCCCCGGAGGUGGGGAUGCGGGCGUUAUAAAUUCGGGGUGCCGUUGUUCUGACACCGAUGUGGACAGCGUAAGACAGUUCGGUUGGCUCCCCGGAGAUUCCGUCAGCAGAAGCUCAGGGGCGCGAGAACAAAAUGCUGAAUAAGCCUGUAGUACAUUCUACCAAGGUAUCUUCUGGACGGGGAGUUCGACCCUCCCCCGUCUCCACCA
rnacentral:tmRNA from 1 species